rnacentral:rRNA from 1 species
AACGAACGCUGGCGGCGCGCCUAAUACAUGCAAGUCGAGCGAGAAGACGUAGCAAUACGUUUGUAAAGCGGCGAACGGGUGAGGAAUACAUGGGUAACCUACCCUAGAGUGGGGAAUAACUAGCCGAAAGGUUAGCUAAUACCGCGUACGCUCCUUGGACUUCGGUUCAGGGAGGAAAGCGAUACCGUGGGUAUCGCGCUCUUGGAUGGGCUCAUGUCCUAUCAGCUUGUUGGUGAGGAACGGCUCACCAAGGCUUCGACGGGUAGCUGGUCUGAGAGGACGAUCAGCCACACUGGCACUGCGACACGGGCCAGACUCCUACGGGAGGCAGCAGUAAGGAAUAUUGCGCAAUGGGCGAAAGCCUGACGCAGCGACGCCGCGUGGGGGAUGAAGGUC